GAACUUGUCGUGGUCCAUGAUUUAAUCAAAAGCUGCUUGUUUCGGACAAAGAUAGAUUGCUUUAAAAACUGAUUUAGGAUUGUUUAACUUUCCAAUUUAAUACGAUAAAGAAUAUGGUCAAAGUUAAAUGCAAGGUUAGACGUUGAAAUCCUAUCAAACUUCUUUCUUUUAGAGGAGGGUUGAUAUUAGUGUUUAACAAGGGGAGCUAAGGAGGAGACGAUGGUAAUGAUAAGGAGGUUGGUUCACUUGUUAUAGGCGAAGAGCUGGAGUAUUUAGGGGAGGAGGAAGGAGGAGAUGAAUUGGGGAGUGCUUAGGGUUUUAAGGGUCAAAAGAUCCUUCGUGGGUGGAGGUCCCCUUUCCUGAUAGCGACACAUCACCGACAACAUGGAUGGUGGCCAUUCGAUAUGAUCAGCCAGGUGGUUAAGAUGGUUUCGAGGCCAAUUGGGUGAAAUGGUUGAUGCUCUCUAUUACUUUUGUUCAGUACUCAACUGCGUUUAAUGGAAGGCAGGUCGGCCCAAUUAUACCUCAUAGGGGUCUUCGACUAGUGGACCUUAUCUCCUUAUUCGUAUCUUAUCUGUAGGGACGGGCUUAGCUUCCUUCUACGUCGAGCAAAAGCAUGGGGAGAUAUUCAUGGGCAUUCUAUUUGUCGGGGUGGCCCGAGCAUUUGUCAUUUUCUUUUCGCCAAUGACAACUUUUUAUUUUUUCAGGCUAAGGAGAUGGAGGUUCUUAUGAUUAAACGUAUCUUGUCUUGGUAUGAGGAUGAGUCAGGGCAAUCGAUAAAAUUUCACAAAUCUGGUGUUAUGUUUAGCACCAAUAUAUCCAAAGGGGUAAACUCAACUAUUUGCUCUAUUUUAGGAGUGUUUAAUCCUAUGAACCAUGGACGUUAUCUUGGGUUGCCGUCUUUAAUUUGUAAGAAUAAGAAACAAGCUUUCUCUUAUGUCUAGGAGAGACUCUGUAGUUUCUUGGUUUUUAGUAUGAGUGUGUUCCAACUUUCGGAUGCCAUGUGUGUGGCCUUGCAGAGGAUGAUGAACUACUUUUGUUGGGGUUUGGAUGGGGGAACGGAAGGAAAAUUCAUUGGGCUUCGUGGGACAGGCUAUGUGCCCCUAAGAAAUUUGGUGGCAUGGGUUGUUGUGAUUUACAUUGUUUUAAUCUUGCCUUCCUUGGUAAACAGGCAACUUGCUUUAUUACAAAUCCGAACGCUUUGUCAAGUCGGUAUUUCAAGGCUAAAUAUUUUUCGACUUGGGAUUUUUUGGAUGCUUAGCUUGUACAUUUGCAGAAGCAUGUUUGCAGCUACCGGCCUCCUUUCAAAAGGUAUGAGGUGGAGGGUUGGAGGCGGAACGUUGAUCUCGAUUUCAAUGAUUCUUGGAUUUGUGAUGAUCAAAGUUAUUAUGUUGAUUCUCUUCCCUUACUAAGUAUGGAAUCGCUAAAGGUAUAUGAGUUGUUAGACACUAUGGAGACCGAUUUGGAUGAUGGUUUUAUACAAGGUAUUUUCCCCCUUCCGAUGCAAUGCAAAUUUUGAAGCUACUGGUGAUUCAUGCAAAGCCAACUGAUGGGUUGAUAUGGGAUUUUAGUCCGGAUAGGCGAUACACUGCGAAGACGGGUUACAAAGUCACAUCUGAUUCUUUUUCGAUGAUUUCUCAGUUUUCAAUUAAUAGUACUUGGUUCGCUUUAUGAACAACUAUAUCCCUCCAAAGGUGUGUUUUUCCCUUUGGCGUUGUAGGAGAAAUUUCACUCCAUAUAAGUCUCGUUUGCUUAUCGGGGGCUGAAUAUUCUGCCAAAUUGCUCAUGUUGUGGCUCGACUGAAACUCUUGAAUAUGCGGUGUUUUGAGUGUGUGAAGGCAAGGGAGGUGUGGCAUUUGGCCGGCUUAUCUUUACCCAACUCCUCUUGUGCCGUUUUUGUUGCGGAAGGUGCAAGUAUGUCGGAUGUGGGCCAACAAAACCACGUGUUUGUGCUGCUGUGGUUUUUAUGGUUUUAUCGAAAUCUAUUUACUUGGCAGAAUCGUGAUGUACCUUCUUCACAUAUAGUGUAUGUUGCUGCUGUGUUUUUGUAGAAUUAGGAGGCGAGGGGCAUUUAUGAAAGGGUGCAAAGGGGAUUGUCGGCGUCUGGUGGUUCACGGGGUGGUCGAUGGGUAGCUUCUUGUCAAGAUCGAAUCAAGUGCAACGUGGAUGCUGCCUUGUUUUAGGAAUCUCGGUAGUCGACGUUUGCUACUAUUCUAAGAGAUUUUAAGGGCAAUUUUCUCAAGGCUUAUUCUGGCUACGCAAACCUUGCUAUGGCACCACAUAUGGCUAAAACGUAUGCUAUUAGAAAAGCAUUUUCGUUGCUGAAAUCAGAGGAUUAUGAUGGGAUUGUUAUAGAAUCGGAUUGUUGGCAAGUGGUACAUUCUUUGAAUAAUUCAAUUGAUGAUACCUCUGAAUUUGGCUUAUUAUUAUGAAUUUUCAAAAUGUUGCAUAUCAAUUUCAACAUUUGUCCUUUUCUGGAUUCGCAGGAAACAAAGUCGCUCACUCUUUCGCUCGGGUAGCUUUGUUAUAUGCGAACCACAAUGAAUGGCAUAGACCAUAUAUCAGCGUUUCUUAUUUGCUUGAAUCUGACGCUCUUUUUGUUAAUUCCAUUGAUAGUGAUCCGCGUAGGUUUGGGUGCCCGAUGGCUUAGGUUAAAUGGCCCUCCUAUCUUGGUUUUCGAUGUUUCUUUGCUUUUUAAUUAGGGAUAAAUAUUAAAAUUA